CCUACGGGAGGCAGCAGUGAGGAAUAUUGGUCAAUGGGCGUGAGCCUGAACCAGCCAAGUAGCGUGAAGGAUGACUGCCCUAUGGGUUGUAAACCUCUUUUAUCAAGGAAUAAAGUGAGCCACGUGUGCCUUUUUGUAUGUUCUUUAUGAAUAAGGAUCGGCCAACUCCGUGCCAGCAGCCGCGGUAAUACGGAGGAUCCGGGCGUUAACCGGGUUUAUUGGGUUUAAAGGGAUCGUAGAUGGGUUGUUAAGUCAGUUGGUAAAGUGUGCGGCUCAAACGUAAAAUUGCAGUUGAUACUGGCGGCCUUGAGUACAGUUGAGGUAGGCGGAAUGCGUGGUGUAGCGGUGAAAUGCAUAGAUAUCACGAAGAACUCCGAUUGCGAAGGCAGCAUACUAAACUGCCACUGACAUUGAUGCUCGAAAGUGUGGGUAUCAAACAGGAUUAGAUACCCUAGUAGUC
rnacentral:rRNA from 1 species